AACGAACGCUGGCGGCAGGCCUAACACAUGCAAGUCGAACGCCCCGCAAGGGGAGUGGCAGACGGGUGAGUACCACGUGGGAACCUUCCCUAUAGUACGGAAUAGCCCAGGGAAACUUGGAGUAAUACCGUAUACGCCCGAAAGGGGAAAGAAUUUCGCUAUAGGAUGGGCCCGCGUAGGAUUAGCUAGUUGGUGAGGUAAUGGCUCACCAAGGCGACGAUCCUUAGCUGGUUUGAGAGAACGACCAGCCACACUGGGACUGAGACACGGCCCAGACUCCUACGGGAGGCAGCAGUGGGGAAUAUUGGACAAUGGGCGCAAGCCUGAUCCAGCCAUGCCGCGUGAGUGAUGAAGGCCUUAGGGUUGUAAAGCUCUUUUGGCGGGGACGAUAAUGACGGUACCCGCAGAAUAAGACCCGGCUAACUUCGUG
rnacentral:rRNA from 1 species